GGAGAUUUAGCUCAGUGGAAGAGCGCUUGCCUAGGAAGCGCAAGGCCCUGGGUUCGGUCCCCAGCUCCG
rnacentral:tRNA from 1 species